ACGAACGCUGGCGGCGUGCUUCACACAUGCAAGUCGAACGGGUCUGCCCUGUUUUUUGCGGGGUGGGUCAGUGGCGAACGGGUGAGUAACACGUGAGUAACCUGCCCCUCACUUCUGGAUAACCGCUUGAAAGGGUGGCUAAUACGGGGUGUUCUGGCUGUGCCGCAUGGUGUGGCUGGGAAAGAUUCCCUUUUGUGGUGUUUUGGUGGGGGAUGGGCUCGCGGCCUAUCAGCUUGUUGGUGGGGUGAUGGCCUGCCAAGGCUUUGACGGGUAGCCGGCCUGAGAGGGUGGGCGGUCACACUGGGACUGAGAUACGGCCCAGACUCCUGCGGGAGGCAGCAGUGGGGGGUAUUGCACAAUGGGCGGAAGCCUGAUGCAGCGACGUCGCGUGAGGGAUGGAGGCCUUCGGGUUGUGAACCUCUUUCGCCGGUGAAGAAGGUCCUGCUCUUUGUGGUGGGGUUGACGGUAGCCGGGUUAUGAAGCGCCGGCUAACUACGUG
rnacentral:rRNA from 1 species